UCUCCUGGAAACGGGUGGUAAUGCCGGAUGCUCCAGUUGAUCGCAUGGUCUUCUGGGAAAGCUUUCGCGGUAUGGGAUGGGGUCGCGUCCUAUCAGCUUGACGGCGGGGUAACGGCCCACCGUGGCUUCGACGGGUAGCCGGCCUGAGAGGGCGACCGGCCACAUUGGGACUGAGAUACGGCCCAGACUCCUACGGGAGGCAGCAGUGGGGAAUAUUGCACAAUGGGCGCAAGCCUGAUGCAGCGACGCCGCGUGAGGGAUGGAGGCCUUCGGGUUGUAAACCUCUUUUAUCGGGGAGCAAGCGUGAGUGAGUUUACCCGUUGAAUAAGCACCGGCUAACUACGUGCCAGCAGCCGCGGUAAUACGUAGGGUGCAAGCGUUAUCCGGAAUUAUUGGGCGUAAAGGGCUCGUAGGCGGUUCGUCGCGUCCGGUGUGAAAGUCCAUCGCUUAACGGUGGAUCCGCGCCGGGUACGGGCGGGCUUGAGUGCGGUAGGGGAGACUGGAAUUCCCGGUGUAACGGUGGAAUGUGUAGAUAUC
rnacentral:rRNA from 1 species